GCCGGUUUAGCUCAGCUGGUAGAGCACCUGAUUUGUAAUCAGGGGGUCGCGAGUUCGAACCUUGCAACCGGCA
rnacentral:tRNA from 1 species